CGGGCCUUCCUGGGGAAGCCGGGAUGAAGGGUGACCUUGGACCCCUGGGCACUCCUGGGGAGCAGGGCCUCAUUGGGCAACGGGGAGAGCCAGGCCUCGAGGGUGACAGUGGCCCCAUGGGACCUGAUGGGCUGAAGGGGGACAGGGGAGACCCAGGGCCUGAUGGAGAACAUGGCGAGAAAGGCCAGGAAGGGCUGAUGGGUGAGGACGGGCCCCCCGGCCCCCCUGGCGUCACUGGUGUCCGGGGUCCUGAAGGAAAAUCAGGGAAGCAAGGCGAGAAGGGCCGCACUGGAGCCAAGGUAGGUGUCCCCUUCUGACUUGAUAGGCCUGCGUCCC
rnacentral:lncRNA from 1 species